CUCGUAGGCGGUUCGUCGCGUCCGGUGUGAAAGUCCAUCGCUUAACGGUGGAUCCGCGCCGGGUACGGGCGGGCUUGAGUGCAGUAGGGGAGACUGGAAUUCCCGGUGUAACGGUGGAAUGUGUAGAUAUCGGGAAGAACACCAAUGGCGAAGGCAGGUCUCUGGGCCGUCACUGACGCUGAGGAGCGAAAGCGUGGGGAGCGAACA
rnacentral:rRNA from 1 species